UUGAAUUGAAGAGUUUGAUCAUGGCUCAGAUUGAACGCUGGCGGCAGGCUUAACACAUGCAAGUCGAACGGUAGCAGGAAGAAAGCUUGCUUUCUUUGCUGACGAGUGGCGGACGGGUGAGUAAUGCUUGGGAAUCUGGCUUAUGGAGGGGGAUAACUGUGGGAAACUGCAGCUAAUACC
rnacentral:rRNA from 1 species